GGAUAUCAAUUAGGCCAUAAUAAGAAGAGAAAAAACAUGAGAGGAUUUUGGGAGGGUGGCUUACACUGAGAGAGUGAGAGAAGCAAUUGGAAAAGUGAGGAAACUGCGGUUGUGCAAAAAGUUGGGAUAAUUAGGGGCAAAAGUAUGGUGCCCGCUUCUUCUUCUUCUUAUUGGCAGUAUAAUUAAAAUUGUUUAAGGCUUUUGGCCCCUUUCUUUUGUAGCCUUUUUUUUUUUUAACUAUUAUCAAUUUAUCGUUUUUGUUUGGGUAGCAUUCUUAAAAUGCUACAUUACCUUAUAUGAUACAUAGCAUUUAGAAAUAUGUUACUAAUAGGAUGAUAAAUGUGAUAAAAAGUAAAAUAUUAUCA
rnacentral:lncRNA from 1 species